rnacentral:lncRNA from 1 species
CCGGUCUGGAUGCUUGAACCAAAGGGACAUUUCUCUGUAAAAACUGCAUGGGAUUACUUGAGAAGAAGAGAAAAUCCAAGGAUAGCUUACAUGAUGAUAUGGGUCAAAGGCCUACCUUUCAAGAUAUCUUUCUUUUUGUGGAAGGUGUGGAAAGCAAAAUUGACACUUGAUGAUUUCUUGCGUAGAACAGGAUACUCAAUCGCUUCUAAAUGUUGGUGUUAUACUGAUUCUAAGGAGGAGUCUCUAGCUCAUCUAUUCUUCACAUCCAAUGCAGCUUCGACUGUAUGGAGGUACUUCCUAACGAGAGCAGGAAUUCAUUCAGAAGGGUUGUCUUUACAUCAAGCAAUUACAAAAUGCUGGACGGCUCCAGUUGUACCUAGACUGAAGUCAAUCUUUCAAGCUUUACCUGCAUGCAUUGUAUGGGAGUUAUGGAAGAGAAGAAACAGUUUGAAAUACGGCGAAGCAGUGUCAGUAAGUAAGUUAUCUACGGACGGCUCCAGUUGUACCUAGACUGAAGUCAAUCUUUCAAGCUUUACCUGCAUGCAUUGUAUGGGAGUUAAGGAAGAGAAGAAACAGUUUGAAAUACGGUGAAGCAGUGUCAGUAAGUAAGUUAUCUACCUAAUUUCAUCAACGCUACAAUCACUAGUACAACUGAAAAAACCAGGACUUCAUAAACCUCACAAGUGGAUUGAUCUUCUAACUACGCUGGACCAAUAUUCACCAUGUCUGAAGUUCGAUAAAGUGCUAUGGGAAUUCCCACCAAGAGGUUGGAUAAAAGUGAAUACUGAUGGAGCAUGUAGAGGGAUUCGAGGGAGAAGCUCAAUUGGGUUUUGUUUAAGAGAUGAGAGAGGCGACUUGAUAUAUGCAGAAGGAAGAGAAAUUAUAAAUGGGUUUUGUUUAAGAGAUGAGAGAGGCUACUUGAUAUAUGCAGAAGAAAGAGAAAUUAAGGAGGGCUCUAAUAAUGAAGCGGAGGCAACAGCAGUAGUGAAGGCAUUGAGAAUUUGCAAUUCAAUGAAUUAUAAAAAUGUUUGGCUUCAGACAGACUCAAUGAUGCUUCAAAAAAUAAUAGAUGGACAAUGGAAACCGCCAUGGAAUAUUAUGGACGCGGUGGAGAAAAUUAACAUCCUCAAAGAGGGGUGUAACUUCAAAGUAUCUCAUAUUUUCAGGGAGGGAAACAAUCUAGCAGACCACCUUGCAAACCAAGUUCUAGACACUGACAACAUCGUGUGUUUCAAAUUUUCGAAACUUGAUAUCUUGAGCAGAAAGAUCGUAAAUGAUGAUAAGCUUCAAUGUGCAAAACUGAGAAUAAGAGUGGCAAGAAACUAGGGAAGGAAACUGA